GCUCUGCCACUCACCCUCCUGCAGGGGCUGGAACUGCUCCACCUCCUCAGGGUGUUGUGCUGGGGUAGUCCCAGGGCCUUCCUUCUUCUUCCGAAAGGGCCUGAGCAGGCUCAGGCGUCUUCCUACCAUCCGACAGUCUGGUCUUGAGGGUACCUGCAAGAGAGAGACACCUCGGAAGAUCUCCGGGUCACCAAGUCCUGCAGGCUGCCCUCGAGGCCACCUUCCACAGGGAUUGGAGACUCCCCGGAAAAUUUCCGGAUCACCAAUCCUGCGGUCUGGCCUCGAGGGCAACUGAAUGAGAGAAAAGCCUAGGAAACACUAUGGGUUAUCAAGCUGUGCAGUGCGGCCUCAAGGGCACUUGCCACAGGGAUUGGGGACACCUCACAAAAGCUCCGCGUCACCAAGUCCCGCGGUCUGGCCUCGAGGACACCUGCAACACAGAAACACCUCCAAAACGCUCCGGGUCAGAAAGGAAGGAGUUGACUGCGUGGGGGCUCCACACAGCACCGCUCUAUCCCGUCUGUCCCGUCGCAUGCUCCGAGGAGCACUGAGGCGUGGCCACGUCACCACCAGUACUAUGUCAACACGUGUCACAAAGGCCCUGUGACAUCCUGCCCUGUUCCAUGCCAUCGGCGAUGCCCAUCGUGUCUCGAAGGGCCCUGUGACACACUACCACGUGCCCUGGGGCCUCCCCCAGCCCAGCCACCUGCCCCAGGGGGCUGUUGGGAGCAGCAGCUGGAGCAAUUGGUGGCAGUGUUUGGCAUCUGUCAGAACACAGGAGUAGUUUCUCCUUGCAGGAAUGAUUUUUGCAUGGGAAGUGAUGAUCUGCAGCAGAAAACCACCAUCAGUUGCUGCGUUUCACAUGAAGAUUAGAUUGCUCAGAAAUCCUGUCAAGCUUCCUUGUUUUUUUGGACUUUUUUUCUGCAUUCCGCAAAAUAAAAGCUGUCCAGUCUAAUGUUCAAAGCUCCA